rnacentral:lncRNA from 1 species
GCCUCAAAAACACAUUUUCAUAUAAAAAAUGUAGAAACCAACAUUAUGAAUAGCAAAAAUUGACAGUUGUAACUGGGAAAGUCAUCUCUGUCCAAAUGUCAUGAAAAGCACCCAUCUAAGGCUACUUACAGGUCAGCUGGGUUUAAUUCUAGAAGUGCUCAACAUUAUUUUCCAUUGUAAAAGUUAUGUGUUGAAUUGAUCAUUUAUGUGUUACUAUUUCCCUACUAUUUGAAAAGCUGAAAAAAAAUAAUCCAUAUAAACCAUUAACGCCUUUUAUAAUUUGUUUUCAGAUACUUGCGGCAAUCUUUAAAUUCCAGAAAGUACAUCUACAGUAUCAAAUGGCAUACUCUUCCCAGUUCACUCUGGAGCCCUCAUCUCCUUAUCAUUCACACAAUUGAUUCAUUUAUGGGCUAUCUUCUGGAAAAGCAAAACAAAACAAAACCCCCCAGUUUCUUCUGAAACAAAGACAUAUACAGUUUGGGUGAUAGUUCACUCUACUGACAGUUCGAACGUUUUUUAGGUGUGACACUGUAUGGCUCUUGGCAGAAAACUCUGUACAGUCUACUUGUGCGUGAAUACAAAUGCAUAUCCACACAAGAGGUUUGAUAGAACAAAACUGUACAAAGCGCAAGCACUACUGGUUGCUACUUAUCACAACACUAACGAAAUGAGAACAUUCAGUUCUUUUAUGUUGGAAAACAUAAAAAAUAGCCUUUAUCCUGUAAAGGGCUUGAUAACUUUUCCCUAUGCUCUGUUUUUUAUGUUUAGCUUGAGCUGUCAUAUGCCUGUUUCUGAGAUUGGAAAUGGCCAGUGAAAUCCCUGUAGAGGACAGUACACACCUGCUCUGGUGUCUACAUCUCAUUUCAUUGUGUUGCUGUGCCAGGCUUUUUGCUAGCACAUGCACUGUCUACACUUAGCAGAAGAAGGAAGUAAGACUGAUGAAGUUUUUACCAAGGCAUCUAAAGGUUUGAGGGGGAUGGACUCCACCGUCUGCAAAUGAAUAAUCACCCCCUGUCUCACUGCACCCUCUACUAUUUUCUGAUGCUACUCUGUGCUCUCAGGUAUUUCCAUAUAUCUCCAUUUAUGCUGUUGGUCUUUCCUCAAAAAUAGUUAACACCACUAAUAGCACUUGAAUAAGACCUCGAUGCAUAUUUUUGUGCCUUGAUACAGGCUGUACAACAGUCCUAAGGUCACUAAGGUGAAGAAAAAUGUCAUGCAGACAUACCGCUUUUUUCUAUUACCACUUCGCUUUUGGAGAGGAUUGUGAAUUGGCAUCACAUCCGUAGGUAAGGCAUUCCCUUAGGCCAUUCUUCACCUCUUAGAAGUGUGUUAGUACAUGUUUCUUGCUUGGUUAUCUUAGAUAUUGGAAAAGGAGCUUGUGUAGGUGUUACCUACUUCCUAAGGAAAACUUGAUAUUCAUUACCUGGCACUCCUGACAGAAGCCAGCUGCUGGUUCAGAGCAGAGAUAAUGUAGAAUGCAAUAGUACUCAUUAUUUAGCAUACGAUCUGAUGUACGAUGAUUUAAUUUUUAAUUCCAGUCAUCCCAACUGACAUAGAGACACUAAUCCUAAAAAAAAAGAAUUUCAGCAGGAAUUUUGAUGUUGAAGAAACAAAUAUUUUAAGCUGUGUUAAGUCACUUAUGCAAAUGAGCUUUUUAAAGAAUGAAAAGAAAUAUAUUGAGUUGUAGAUUUAAUUUAUAAGUUUUCCGGGUUUUUUUAUUUUUUAUUAAGACCUUGUAAUAUAUGUUUAGUUCAUGACUGUUGAAUCGUAAAGAGAUAACUUUUCAGAUCAAAUCUUCGUUACUUGAGUCAUGAACUCUUACACUUUCGGAUGCUACAAAACCCCACCUUUUUCCUCGGAUAAAAUGCAACAAACCUGGGAUGCUCUUUUCACGUAUUGGCCAUUACUUAUCAAUCAGUAAUGAUUUCAUAAAAGCACCCUACUUUCUUAACUGUCACUAUUAAUUACUGUUUGCAAAAAUGUAAGACCUCAGCUGCUUACGCUUUCCUUCCUUGCUAAAUACUGCAGUUGAGUAUUUUUCAUUGUAGGUGCUGACAGUAAUGCUUCAAAUUUCUACUUUUAACUAAAGCUAUAGUUUCUGAGGAAACACACUUUUCAGGACUAAACUGGAAUUUGCUAGAUUAACUUAUUGUUGUUCAAGACUCAUGUCUGCUUCUGGAGUAGGCCACUUGAACAUAGGCAAGUGUAUUAUAAAAAAUUGAAUUAAUUUAUAUGGCAUCUUGAUAAAUCAGGUUCUGUAGUCAGGAGUUAAUAGUUACAAUUCUCAUUGGUAAUGCUGGUUCUUGGUGAUACUGAUGUACAAUUUCUAUGUUGUUUCGAUUCAGAUUUACCAUUUGAUUACUCCUACUUUAUAUUCAGAGAUCUAUCCACAUCUUGCAACCAGGAGGCAUAACAUAACAUCUACUUCACUGAAUUAUUAUCUUUUAAGAGCACAUGAUGUCUAAGGCAAAGUUAUGGUCUUUUCAAUACUAAGAUUUAAAGUGCUUUAAAAAUCCUACCCAUACCUAUUGAGCCAAGAGAUUCAAAGUAGGUCAGCUAAUUUAUUUCAUAAGUAGUUGCAGGGCAGGAAUGCUUAUAAGCAAAUAACUCCUGUGUUAAGGUUUAUCCUAAAUAAAUUUUCUUCCAUCAUCGAAAAAAAUUAAUGCUGAAUCUCACUCACCCAGCUAUAAAUGCAUUUACAAAUGAUAGGACAUACAGCAAUAAUGUGCAACAGUAACAAACCAUGUGUUAUUCUGUAUACUUUGUAUGACAAAAAUACAAAAACUGACUUGUAAAUUACAGUACAUUUUUGUGAUUUUUCUGUACAUUCUUAAUUUGUAUAGAAAACCAGAACUGUCAAACUCCACAAGCUUACAAAUCACAGAGCCACUAAACACUGGUUGUAAGAGAUUUCUGGAGAUCAUUGAGUCCAAUCUCCUACUUGAAACACUACUGUUACCCCACUCCCAGGUCAGCUUUGAUGUCUGAAACCCUCCAAGGAUAGAGUGCUUGAUGUUGCUGGCAAGUUCUUGUAGCCUUGAACAAUCCCCCCGAUGUUUUUCCUCUACAUCCAAACUGAACCUCCCAAGACUAAAUGU